rnacentral:rRNA from 1 species
UGGCUCAGAACGAACGCUGGCGGCAUGCCUUACACAUGCAAGUCGAACGGCAGCACGGGUGCUUGCACCUGGUGGCGAGUGGCGAACGGGUGAGUAAUAUAUCGGAACGUACCUUAUUGUGGGGGAUAACGCAGCGAAAGCUGUGCUAAUACCGCAUAAUCCCUAAGGGGGAAAGCAGGGGACCGUAAGGCCUUGCGCAAUUAGAGCGGCCGAUACCUGAUUAGCUAGUUGGUGAGGUAAAGGCUCACCAAGGCAACGAUCAGUAGCUGGUCUGAGAGGACGAUCAGCCACACUGGGACUGAGACACGACCCAGACUCCUACGGGAGGCAGCAGUGGGG